GACGAACGCUGGCGGCGUGCUUAACACAUGCAAGUCGAACGGAAAGGCCUGCUUUCCCUUGUGGAUUGCGGGUACUCGAGUGGCGAACGGGUGAGUAACACGUGAGUGAUCUGCCCCCAACUUGGGUAUAAGCCUGGGAAACUGGGUCUAAUUCCCGAUAGGACUGCAGGGUGGUGCCUGUGGUGGAAAACGAUUUUCUAGUGGUUGGGGAUGAGCUCGCGGCCUAUCAGCUUGUUGGUGGGGUAAUGGCCUACCAAGGCGGCGACGGGUAGCCGGCCUGAGAGGGUGGACGGCCACAUUGGGACUGAGAGACGGCCCAGACUCCUACGGGAGGCAGCAGUGGGGAAUAUUGCACAAUGGGCGGAAGCCUGAUGCAGCGACGCAGCGUGGGGGAUGACGGCCUUCGGGUUGUAAACUCCUUUCGACCGCGAGGAAGCCACCUGGUUGGAAGGGUGGUGACGGUAGUGGUAGAAGAAGCACCGGCUAACUACGUG
rnacentral:rRNA from 1 species